rnacentral:rRNA from 1 species
AUACGGAGGGUGCAAGCGUUAUUCGGAAUCACUGGGCGUAAAGGACGCGUAGGCGGGUUGGCAAGUCAGAUGUGAAAUCCUACAGCUUAACUGUAGGACUGCAUUUGAAACUGCUAACCUAGAGUAUGGGAGGGGGAGAUGGAAUUAGUGGUGUAGGGGUAAAAUCCGUAGAUAUCACUAGGAAUACCGAAAGCGAAGGCGAUCUCCUGGAACAUAACUGACGCUAAGGCGUGAAAGCGUGGGGAGCAAACAGGAUUAGAAACCCUAGUAGUCC